AGGCGACGACGGGUAGCCGGCCUGAGAGGGCGACCGGCCACACUGGGACUGAGACACGGCCCMGACUYCUACGGGAGGCAGCAGUGGGGAAUAUUGCACAAUGGGCGAAAGCCUGAUGCAGCGACGCCGCGUGAGGGAUGACGGCCUUCGGGUUGUAAACCUCUUUCAGCAGGGAAGAAGCUUUCGGGUGACGGUACCUGCAGAAGAAGCGCCGGCUAACUACGUGCCAGCAGCCGCGGUAAUACGUAGGGCGCAAGCGUUGUCCGGAAUUAUUGGGCGUAAAGAGCUCGUAGGCGGCUUGUCGCGUCGGUUGUGAAAGCCCGGGGCUUAACCCCGGGUCUGCAGUCGAUACGGGCAGGCUAGAGUUCGGUAGGGGAGAUCGGAAUUCCUGGUGUAGCGGUGGAAUGCGCAGAUAUCAGGAGGAACACCGGUGGCGAAGGCGGAUCUCUGGGCCGAUACUGACGCUGAGGAGCGAAAGCGUGGGGAGCAAACAGGAUUAGAUACCCUGGUAGUCCACGCCGUAAACGGUGGGCACUAGGUGUGGGSGACAUUCCACGUCGUCCGUGCCGCAGCUAACGCAUUAAGUGCCCCGCCUGGGGAGUACGG
rnacentral:rRNA from 1 species